AUCCAGCCCAUGAGUCCCAAAUAUGACGAAACAUGCGUCCUGGAU
rnacentral:hammerhead_ribozyme from 1 species